rnacentral:tRNA from 1 species
GGUGGUAUAGUUCAAAUGGUAGAACGCUUCCUUUGUAACGAAGAUGUUGUGGGUUCAAGUCCUACUACCACCACCA